GGUUAGUUAGCUCAGUCAGUUGAGCAUGGCACUAACAACGCCAAGGUUGCGGGUUCAGUUCCCUCUCGGUCCC
rnacentral:tRNA from 1 species